AAAUUGAAGAGUUUGAUCAUGGCUCAGAUUGAACGCUGGCGGCAGGCCUAACACAUGCAAGUCGAGCGGAAACGAGUUAUCAGAACCUUCGGGGGACGAUAACGGCGUCGAGCGGCGGACGGGUGAGUAAUGCCUAGGAAAUUGCCCUGAUGUGGGGGAUAACCAUUGGAAACGAUGGCUAAUACCGCAUGAUGCCUACGGGCCAAAGAGGGGGACAUUCGG
rnacentral:rRNA from 1 species